rfam:Gossypium hirsutum cultivar TM-1 chromosome 10, whole genome shotgun sequence
AUUCUGCAAUGAUGAAUUAUGAAAAAAAAUUCACAUGUCAGACUUCAGAGAUUUUUUAAAAGAAAAUCUAUGAGAAGAAAAUUCAUAUUUUCUGAGCAGAAG